rnacentral:rRNA from 1 species
AGGUGUACUGGGCGAAGCCUGACCGCAAUGCCGCGUGCAGGAAGAAGGCCUUCGGGUUGUAAACUGCUUUUGUACGGAACGAAACGGCCUUUUCUAAUAAAGAGGGCUAAUGACGGUACCGUAAGAAUAAGCACCGGCUAACUACGUGCCAGCAGCCGCGGUAAUACGUAGGGUGCGAGCGUUAAUCGGAAUUACUGGGCGUAAAGCGUGCGCAGGCGGUUCUAUAAGACAGAUGUGAAAUCCCCGGGCUCAACCUGGGAAUGGCAUUUGUGACUGUAGAGCUAGAGUACGGUAGAGGGGGAUGGAAUUCCGCGUGUAGCAGUGAGAUGCGGAGAUAUGCGGAGGAACACCGAUGGCGAAGGCAAUCCCCUGGACCUGUACUGACGCUCAUGCACGAAAG